GCAUAUCAAUAAGCGGAGGAAAAGAAACCAACAGGGAUUGCCCCAGUAACGGCGAGUGAAGCGGCAACAGCUCAAAUUUGAAAUCUGGCUCACGCCCGAGUUGUAAUUUGUAGAGGAUGCUUUUGGUGCGGUGCCUUCUGAGUUCCCUGGAACGGGACGCCGAAGAGGGUGAGAGCCCCGUAUAGUCGGACACCAAGCCUUUGUAAAGCUCCUUCGACGAGUCGAGUAGUUUGGGAAUGCUGCUCAAAAUGGGAGGUAAAUGCCUUCUAAAGCUAAAUACCGGCCAGAGACCGAUAGCGCACAAGUAGAGUGAUCGAAAGAUGAAAAGCACUUUGAAAAGAGGGUUAAAUAGUACGUGAAAUUGUUGAAAGGGAAGCGCUCAUGACCAGACUUGCGCCUAGUGAAUCAUCCAGCGUUCUCGCUGGUGCACUUCGCUAGGCUCAGGCCAGCAUCGAUCUUCCUAGGGGGAUAAAAGCGGCGGGAACGUAGCUCCUCCGGGAGUGUUAUAGCCCGCUGCAGAAUACCCCUGGGGGGAUCGAGGACCGCGCUUCGGCAAGGAUGCUGGCGUAAUGGUCAUCAGCGACCCGUCUUGAAACACGGACCAAGGAGUCAAGCAUUAGGGCGAGUGUUUGGGUGUCAAACCCGCACGCGAAAUGAAAGUGAACGUAGGUGAGAGCUUCGGCGCAUCAUCGACCGAUCCUGAUGUAUUCGGAUGGAUUUGAGUAAGAGCCUUACCGCUUGGACCCGAAAGAUGGUGAACUAUGCUUGGAUAGGGUGAAGCCAGAGGAAACUCUGGUGGAGGCUCGCAGCGGUUCUGACGUGCAAAUCGAUCGUCAAAUCUGAGCAUGGGGGCGAAAGACUAAUCGAACCAUCUAGUAGCUGGUUA
rnacentral:rRNA from 1 species